GGCUGUGUAGCUCAGUUGGCUAGAGCAGUCGGCUCAUACCCGGCGCGUCGAGGGUUCGAAUCCCCCCACAGCCACCA
rnacentral:tRNA from 1 species